rnacentral:misc_RNA from 1 species
AAAAUGUACUAUUUAGUUAUUCAAUAAAUAGGGGGUAAAAAGUUAUUCAAAAAAUGAUGGAUCUAUUAAUAAACUAAACUAAAAUUGCAUCACAUGAGGAGCUAAUCUCAUCAACCUAUCCAAAGCAUUAGGCAUAAACUUCCUUGCAAACAAGAAGCAAAUAUGAAUCCUUCUCCCAUUGUAUUCACAUCCCUUAUUUCCAUUUCUCCUCAGCCUCUCCAAGAAUUCCCUAGUGAUUUCCAUCCUCCCAAACCUGUUUGGAUGGGGUCCACCCUUUGACCAGUCAACCCAUGUCACAGUCCUAUUUGAAUUCCUCCUCCAAAACUUGAUGCUAACAAAAGUUGGCAAGUAGUGUUCAUCCCCAUAACAUGAGCCCUUGCAAAAUCUCCGAAAUAUUGGGAAGUAUUUCCUGUCCGAGACUACCUCAAUGGCAAGCUUGCGAUCCAUCUCGAACCAUUGGGAGCCCUUUCGCCAUUGAUCAAGUUGAAUUGUGGGUUUCAUUCUUGGGUUAUAUCGACCGCGGCCAACUGGGCCGGGCAGGUCAUAGACCUCUAGAAAAGAUUUUGAUGAGCCCAUUAAGUAGUGGUAGAUUGUGGAGAAGUUGAACAGGGGAAUGCAGGACUCUGAUAGGAGAACAAAGCGUUGAUUGGAUAUGUCCAACAAUGCAUUAGCUAAUAGGAGUCGCUCUGCUUCAACCAUUGUGAAUUUUCCCCAUUGCACCUCCUUGCUUGGGAUCCUCCUGCCAUAGAACACAGAAUUGGAGGGCACUGUUUCAUUGAAAGAUGGAUUGGAAUGCACGUAAAUUGAGUACAAUCCUUUAUGACCUUUAAAGAACAAUUCCCACAGAGGAGCCAAAGGCAAAGGCCCUCUUGUCAAGAACAAGAAUGCAACCUUUGGGACACGCUUGAAUGGAAAUUCUCCAACAUGGGGAACCAUUGACGCUCUCCAUAACAACUCUUCUUCUUUCAUAUCAUGGGAGACGUUUGGCACUCUCAAGAACUCUUUCAACCCGGUUCGAUUCCUCGUUUGAUUCAAGAACUCACCCAAAGGUAAAAGCUGCGAGGGGGGCGGCGAAAUCAGUGAAAAUGAUGAAGAGGGUUUAGAUGGUGAAAUCUGGCUUUGGAUGGAGAAUUGAUUGAGUUGAAAGUUGAAAGAAAUAUCUUUGAGAUAGAAACUAAGAGUUAUACCAAAGGCUAAACCGCAGCCAAAUAGAAGGAAAUAGGAGAUGAAGUGAUGGAGCUGCAUUUGGCCAUUGAUGAGUUUGGAUGAGGUCUGUGCAUGGCGCAGUUGCUGAUCUAUGGUCUUCAUCUCGUUGGAAAAUACAGAGAUAGAGACAGAGAGAGACAGAGGGACAAGAACAGUAGAGAAGAAGAAUUUUGGUCGUGUGAAAUGAAGUAACGGACGGUUUGGCUUUUGGUGGAGUUGGACUGAAGUUAUUAUAUCGUUCGUAUUAAUAGCUGAUUAUGGAGAGAGAGAG